CUACAACAUAAAAUAAUAUGUUACCUGGGGUCCUACCCAACUGGCUGGUGUAACUAAUGCCAAGCGGCGAAAGUAUUACUUAGUACGUGACCGGUGAGGCCCUACUAGUUGCCAAGCGGCUUUGAGAGGCACUAUCUAUAAUUUGACUCGUGUGGGGUACGUGGCCAUUGGCAUUAUGGCAGGGUGAUGGCCUCUCCGUGACUCGUAAAAGCAUAAUACAGAAUGGGAGUGACAAGUGAGGCCCUCUCUAUGCAACCAAGCGAGGCGGCUAGCUAUGAAUUGGCCCGAGGGGAUGCCGUACCUCCGAAUUGAGGAUGGGUGUUGGCCUCGCGGGACCACUAACGAAAG